CCUACGGGUGGCAGCAGUGGGGAAUAUUGGGCAAUGGAGGCAACUCUGACCCAGCAACGCCGCGUGAAUGAUGAAGGUCUUCGGAUUGUUAAGUUUCUUUUUAAGGGAAGUAGAAAGUGACGGUACCUCAGGAAUAAGCCUCGGCUAACUACGGGCCUGCAGACGCGGUGAGACGGAGGAGGCAAGCGUUAUCCGGAAUGACUGGUGGUAAAGGGUGCGUAGGUGGGUCAGUAAGUUAGUAGGGUAAUUCCGGGGGUCAACCUCGGCACUGCUACUGAAACUGUUGGACUUGAGUGCAGGAGGGGGAGCUGGAAUUCGUGGUGUAGCGGUGAAAUGCGUAGAUAUCAGGAGGAACACCGAUGGCGAAGGCGGGUUGCUGGACUGUAACUGACACUGAGGCACGAAAGCGUGGGGAGCAAACAGGAUUAGAUACCCGGGUAGUC
rnacentral:rRNA from 1 species